UAAAACCUGUGGAACACUAAACCACAUCUUCUGA
rnacentral:tRNA from 1 species